rnacentral:lncRNA from 1 species
GCUUAUUGUCACCAGUCCAGCUCUGAGGUUUAGGUAUAGAGUUCACUCACUACCCACGCGUUAUCUUUCCAUCUGUUUGCAGAUGCUGCUAUCGUAAUGGAACUAUUGUCAUGGAUAACUCGGCUACGAUGUCUUGUCUACACGUUUUCCUUGUGGAUCAUGUAACUUCAUAUAUCUCUGUCAGUGAACGUAUUUCUCAACUCCUGCGGUCACAGCCUUUUAUGGCUACAGUUAUGAUUAUUCAUUUAUUGGCCGUAACCCUGCUAAUCCUGCUCAGGGGAAGACGAGCCGUGGCCCCGCAGAGCCGUCUUCGUGUGGUGGCUCGCGAGUGUGUACCCUGAAGUUUAUACUCGGGGUAAAGAAACUGGAAACGAAUUGGCGAGGAAGCUCCGGUAACUAACAGCCAACAGCCCUGCUUGCCAGAACAACAGGCUCUAACUGACCUUCCCCCUCAGGCAGCUUUUGUAAAAUUUACUACUUUGAUUGAACAGAUCUGCAGAUAGUUCGGAGAAGUGUUCUGUGGUCCCCCCCCGCAAAGGACUGAUGGGGUUGAUGUUAGCGGUAAAGCUCCCCAGACCCCUCCUGCCCGGGGCCCCAGCCCCUGCUGGUGUCCUGCGGCCGCUGCCCACUACCGUGUUGUACCGGGCGGUUUGGUAGCGGAGAUGGCAGGCAGGGCGCAGUUUAGCGUAGGCUGCCCCGUGUUGGGAGGCGGCGGGGGAGCUGUGCCAUCCUGUCGGAAAAGGCUCCUGGUUUCUAGGUAACCUCAUGGAAACAAGUAGUGUCAGUCAAUUGCCAGGCGCAUGCGUUACUCCCAAAUUGCAGUUACGUUUGCCCAACCCCUUGUGCACAGAAGCCGCUGGCGUUACGUGACCAAAAUUUUUUUUCUUUCACUAAAGUCGUGGCUGCCCGCCCGCUGUGUGCCAGCACUGUCGUGUUUCUCCGGCCGUGCAGGGAGCUCGAUCUUUGCUUGGCCUCCUGGCUUCAGCAGCUCCUGGGGGGAACAAUGUUCUGCUUUUGAAGAUAUUUCUCUAGACCUUCUUCUUUGGGAAAGAAGCUGGUAAAUCUCUUCAGACUCCAAAGCACUGCAGAACGGAGCGCAGAAAUGGGAAACAAGUGCAGGAACAGCAGGACUCACGAUCUCCAGAUCAGCGCUUUGGAGCGAGGCCAUGGAUGGUUCCUUGUCUCCUGCAUCGCAACUCUGCAAGCAGUAAAGCUGCCACCAUGCAGUGCUGUGCCUGAAACAAGAAUCCAGUGAGCUGGAUGGGACAUGAGCAGGACACCUUGUCGAGAACAGACAUCAUAAAAAAAAAUACAGCACUAGAUCAGUUCAAAUUUCAGACACCCACACUUUCCUCAUGAACUGGAUGUUUCUGAGCAGAGUGCCUGAGCAUUGCUAAAGGCAAAGUUAAAUAAGAAAGUGGUGUUAUUACUCAAAUGAUGGGAGUACAUAUUCUCUCACCUCUUCUACAAUAGAGGGUUCUGCUAAAUAUACAAACUGAGAGGCUGAGGACCUGAUGAUUAUGAAAAGCUCCAGCUUUCUUUUCUCGUUCUUUCGCUUAACUCAAAAUUACCUGGAAGCAAGCAAAUUAUAGUUAUGUUAUUCGUGUCCAUGGACUUUCCUACCAAAGCUAUAUAUAUGUGCGUUCUCGCUGAAGUGUUUUUCAUACUCAACAACAUACAGAGUGAGGAACACUUUUAGAGUAAAGUCAGUAUUGUUCAAGUUUCUUCCAUGUGCCACAAAGGAAUUUUAUAUUUUUAUAGAAACUUUGAGCUAAUCUCCCACACAGUUCUAUAUCCCUACAAUAUAGGUGUUCUGCAUACCACAUUGUAGUUUUCAGUUUUUUUACUUCUGUGCAAUAAUGUAAACAUACAUGGAAACUAUAUUGAGAAUGCAGCCCACCUACCACAUGUUCCCCAGAACCAUACAGCUGAGCAGACUGUUCAAACUGCCUUGGAGGUGGACACAGCAUCAGUAGAUGACUUAAAAAAAGAAAGUGAAAGAACAAUAACAGCUGUUCUCAUAUUUUCUUGGGUAAUGCUAGCUCACUGAGAAGAACAAACAUGGCUGAUAGAAGGAGUAAAACUGAAAAUGAGGGCUAACAAAAAUGUGUUCAGGAGAGGGUCACAGACAGUGGUACUUCUCUUGAUGUCAGUUAUCUACAAAUCAUCUGUUCCUGUAGCUGGCUGAAGUUCUGAGAAAGCCUUGAUAAGAGUUGACAAGUUUGAGAAAUGGUCUGGAAAGAAACAAGGAGAUCAGAAGGAGUUCUCUGAACACAGGGGAGACCUGAAUGAAGUUAUAAAGUCCUCAAUAUUAUCACAGCUGGCUAAUAACACCAAAAGGUCAGAGCAAUAUAGUAAUUACUCAAACUUAGAAUAGCUUUUCCCAUUGGAAAAUAACAUCGACUUUAAGUCAUGAAUAAAACAUGCUGGCCCAAAUCUAAUACCUUAGGC